rnacentral:rRNA from 1 species
GGGUUCACCCCAAGAGAGGGGCCUGUGCCUUGGAAAGUAUGGUAGUUCUUGUGGUGUCUAGUGAGCUCUCACUGGCCCUUGAAAAUCUGGAGGAGAGGGUGCAAAUCUUGCACUGUGCCAUCCCUGUAUCUGUAAUAGGUCUCUUUUGAUUGUUUUGUGUAUCCUUUGUUCCUUUCUUAUCAUUUGUCCUCGUGGUUUGGUGGUUUUCUGUAUCAAUUAGGUUUUAUUCUGUUCCCUUUCUAAUUUGUGUAUCUAUCUACCAGUAAACUUCAUAUUUUCAAGUGUUCUCAUCAUGGUUAUUAUCAUUCUUUCUUUUCUAAAUGUAGGGCCCCCAUAAGCAUUUCAUGUAAGGCCAGACUGGUGUUGAUGAAUUUCCUUAAUUUGUGUUUGUCUGAGAAAGACUUUAUUUUUCCUUCAUUUCUGAAGGAUAGGAUUUUUUUUGUCCUUUUUGAGACCGGCCGCACCGCGCUCAGCCAGUGAGUGCUGUGAGUGCACCGGUCAUCCCUAUAUAGGAUCCGAACCCGCGGCGGGAGUGCUGUCACGCUUCCAGCGCUGCACUCUCCCGAGUGCGCCACGGGCUCGGCCCCUGAAGGAUAGUUUUGCUGGGUAUAAUAUUCUUGGCUGGCAGUUUUGGGUCUUUCAGUACUUUGAAAGUAUCAUCCCAUUCUCUCCUGACCUGUAGUAUUUCUGCUGAGAGAUCUGCUGUUAUUGUAAUGGGGAUUCUCUUAUAAGUUACUUAAUGUUUUUCUUUUCCUGUUUUCAGAAUUCUCUCUUUGUAUUUAACUUUCUAUAGUUUGACUGUGAUGCCUGGUCCAGCCUUCUGUGCACAGCUCAGUCUCACCAUUCUGGUGGAUAAUGGGCAAGGUGAUCAUAGCAAAAUGUCAGAGCUGAGGAAAGGAAAAAUGUCAGUCAUCUGACCAGACAGAGGCUAAAACUUGGGUCUGGGGCCAUCAGGUACUCAGCAGAAUGGGAGAAACUGGGAUCCAAGUGAAGUUCUGUCUCACAAUAGUCUAAACCCAGCUCACAUUCCCUAUUAGUGGGUGAACAAUCCAAUGCUUGGUGAAUUCUACUUUACAAUGAUAGGAAGAGCUGACAUCAAAUGAUCAAACUACGAACUAUGCCUGGGCAGCGUGAAGCCAGAGGAAACUCUGGUAGAGGUUCAUAGCAUGACAUGCAAAUCAGUCAUCUGACCUGCGUGUAGGGGUGAGAGACUAAUCAAACUAUCUAGUAGCUGGUUCACUCUGAAGUUUCCCUCAGGAUAGCUGGCACUCUCACAUGAGGAAAACCGCACAUAAUUUUAUCCAGUAAAGCGAAUGAUUAGAGAUCUUUGGGACAAAACAACCUCAACCAAUUCUAAACUUUAAAUGGGUGAGAAGUCUGCUUGUGGAGUUGGCCAUGAAUUGCAAGUGCCUGGUGUGCCACUUUUAGUAAGCAGAACUGGCACUGUGGGAUUAACUGAAUUCCGGGUUAAGGCACCAGAUGCAGAUGCUCAUCAGACCCCAGAAAAGGUGUUGGUUGAUAUAGACAGUAUGAUGGUGGUUACAGAAGUCAGAAUCUGCUAAGUAGUGUGUAACUCACCUGCCAAACCAAAUAGCCCUGAAAAUGGGUGGUGCUGGAGCAUUGGGCCCAUACUCAGCUGUUGCCAGCAGAGGGUUGAGAAAGGUGAUGGGAGCAUGGGGUGAGGUGGGUCUGUUGCUCAGUCUUGGCUGGUGGCUGGCCUUGCAGUUAUUCCUCUGUCCAAGAGAGGGAGCAAGAGAGAGGAAGCAAGAGAGAGAGAGAGAGAGAGAGAGAGAGAGAGAGAGAGAGAGAGGAGGUGACAGGGUCCUUUAAAAAACAAGCUCUUGUGGAAAGUAAUAGAUCGAGAACUCACUCAUUACUCCCUCCUCCCCCAGGGAGAGCAUUAAUCCAUUCAUGAAGGAUCCUCCCCCAUGAUUCGAUCAGUUUCCAACACUGUCACAUUGGGGAUCAAAUUUCCACAUGAGUUUUGGA